rnacentral:rRNA from 1 species
CACGGGGGGAGCAAGCGUUGUUCGGAAUCACUGGGCGUAAAGGGUGUCUAGGCGGUCAGGUAAGUGAGAUGUGAAAUGCCCCGGCUUACCCGGGGACCUGCAUCUCAUACUGUCUGGCUUGAGUAUGGGAGAGGAUGAGGGAAUUCCUGGUGUAGCGGUGAAAUGCGCAGAUAUCAGGAGGAACACCGGUGGCGAAGGCGGCUUGCUGGGCCUUACCUGACGCUGAGGAGCGAAAGCGUGGGGAGCGAACAGG